GUGCUACUUGCUUUGGUGGCACAUAUACUAAAAUUGGAAUGACACAGAGAAGAUUAGCAUGGUUCCAGCGCAAAGGUGACAUACAAAUUUGGGAAGCAUUCCAUUUAACU